rnacentral:lncRNA from 1 species
UGGACAGGGAAGCCUGGCAUGCUGCAGUCCAUGGGGUCGCAGAGUCAGACUUGACUGAGCGACAGAACUGAACUCCAAAUCUACAAGACUUGGAUGACUGUUCCGACCCCACUCCCCAGGCCUCACCGUGCCCUGCAGCUCUCCGUGCUGCUUUGCCUACCUGCUUCUCUCUGGGCCUGACCACCUUUCCUACGCAGUGUUUCUACAACAGAAUUCUUGGUAGUUUUAUCUGCAAUAUACAAGGAGAAUUCACAAUCCAAUAAAGCAAAAAUUUCAAGCCUGAAAAGUAAAUAGCCAUGUGCGAGCAACAG